CCUACGGAGGCAGCAGUGGGGAAUAUUGGACAAUGGGCGAAAGCCUGAUCCAGCCAUGCCGCGUGUGUGAAGAAGGCCUUCGGGUUGUAAAGCACUUUCAGUGGGGAAGAAAGCCUUGGGGCUAAUACCCUCGAGGAAGGACAUCACCCACAGAAGAAGCACCGGCUAACUCCGUGCCAGCAGCCGCGGUAAUACGGAGGGUGCGAGCGUGAAUCGGAAUUACUGGGCGUAAAGCGCGCGUAGGCGGUCUGAUAAGCCGGUUGUGAAAGCCCCGGGCUCAACCUGGGAACGGCAUCCGGAACUGUCAGGCUAGAGUGCAGGAGAGGAAGGUAGAAUUCCCGGUGUAGCGGUGAAAUGCGUAGAGAUCGGGAGGAAUACCAGUGGCGAAGGCGGCCUUCUGGACUGACACUGACGCUGAGGUGCGAAAGCGUGGGUAGCAAACAGGAUUAGAUACCCCUGUAGUC
rnacentral:rRNA from 1 species